rnacentral:rRNA from 1 species
UGCCAGCCGCCGCGGUAAUACGUAAGUCGCAAGCGUUAUCCGGAAUUAUUGGGCGUAAAGGGCGCGCAGGCGGUCUUGUCAGUCAGGUGUGAAAGCCCGGGGCUCAACCCCGGAUGGUCACUUGAAACAGCAAGACUUGAGUACGGGAGAGGAGAGAGGAAUUCCUGGUGUAGAGGUGAAAUUCGUAGAUAUCAGGAGGAACACCGAUGGCGAAGGCGGCUUUCUGGACCGAUACUGACGCUGAGACGCGAAAGCGUGGGGAGCAAACAGGAUUAGAUA